rnacentral:lncRNA from 1 species
AUUGCCCCCCAUCAUUUGCACCUAUUUUUGUCAAGUCCAAACAUAAUUUGAAGUGAGGAUGUUCAUGCUGUGCUUGCUGUCCACCAUGUUCACUGCCAGGCCCCUCUUGCCAAAGCGGCCCGUGCGCCCGAUCCGGUGCAGGAAGGAGAGUUGGAGGCUGAGAGGACUAAGGACAGGAGACAGAAAUCACUGUCAUCCAUAGAGUGUUGCUUUAUGACCCAUGCUAAGUGCAGUGGCGUGAUCACAGCUGACUGCAGCCUCUAACUCCUGGGCUCAAGGGAUCCUCCCACCUCAGUCUUCCGAGUAGCUGAGACUACAGGUUGGGAGGGACUGUGAUCAGCGCUGACAUGGAAAUGGCCCGUCAAACAAAUGCUGCUGAGAGUACGAGAGCCAAGACCCAGGCAGAAGCCAGAGGAGGCGUCUGAAGUGAAGGGAGAAGACACUGCAGAUGGGGAGUCUGAGGAGUCCCCCACCCUCGAGAUCCCUACCUCUGGAUGCGGAUGCUCUGAUCUUGGUGGCCCUGAGUGGCUAUCAUGACAUCAGCCUCAUCCAGAACAAACACCUUGAUUUUCUUGGGAUCAAUGAACUUGAGCUUGGAGCACCAGUCCAGCACGGUCCCAGGGGUGCCAAUGACAAUCUGCUCACUGAUCUUCUGGCCUCUUUCCACUGUGGAGACCCAGUGCUGUAUUUCCAAAUGUCUGAUGGCUACCGGGCAGAAGAGAACACAGCAGGCCUGACCGCUCUCCUUAGGAAAGCCUAUUUGCAAGGCUGGCCCUUGGCUGUCACCUGCGAACUUGGACUUUGGGAAGGUUCCCAUCAUUCCUAGAACUGAUAAGAGGGGGUCAGUCUGCCUCAACUCUUUUUAAAAACAGUUGCAUGUAAUUUAUGCUAACCACCUGCAUUCCUUCUGGAAGUCUGGAAUUCUGGUACAUGCUAGGCACAGGGUGACUAUAUGACAGCCCCCCAAUAAAAGCCUCAAGUAGAGUCUCUAACAAGCUUCCCUGACACCACUUCAUAUGUGCUGUUACAAUUUGCUACCGGAAGAAUGAAGCACACUCUGUGGACUCCAUUGGGAGAUAACUUGGAAGUUUGCCUGGUUUCCUCUGGACUUAGCCCAUGAGCCUUUUUCCUCCACUAAUUUUGCUUUGUAUCUUUUCACUAUAAUAAAUCAUAGUUGUGAGUACAACUACAUA